GUCCACGCCGUAAACGAUGGGCACUAGGUGUGGGAGGUGUCGACUCCUCCCGUGCCGAAGCUAACGCAUUAAGUGCCCCGCCUGGGGAGUACGGCCGCAAGGCUAAAACUCAAAGGAAUUGACGGGGCCCGCACAAGCAGCGGAGCAUGUGGUUUAAUUCGACGCAACGCGAAGAACCUUACCUGGGCUUGACAUGUCGGUCGUACCUGUGGAAACACAGGGGUCAGUUCGGCUGGACCGUCACAGGUGGUGCAUGGCUGUCGU
rnacentral:rRNA from 1 species